AAACCCUUGGGUAAACCCUAAACCUUUGGAUAAAUCAUAAACUUCAAAUCAAAAACACUAAACACUCAAAGGUUUAGGGUUUAGGGUUUAGGGUUGAGGAUUUUAGGAUUUAGUGUUUUUGAUUUAGAGUAUGAUUUAUUCAAGGGUUUAGAGUUUUCCCAAGGGUUUAUAGGGUUUAUGAUUUAGGGUUUAGUGAUUAGGAUUUAGGGUUUAGUGUUUUGCUGACGACGAUAAAAAUAUUAUUUUUUUAAAUUCGUUUUUCUCUAACUACUAUUUUUUUCUAAUUUUUUUAACCUUUUUAUUUUAAAAACAUAAUAUAUCUUGACAAUAUUUUGUUUCCUUUUCUAAAAGAUAUCGAAUUUGAAAUAAUGAAAUCCUAUUGGUUGGUGAACCUC
rnacentral:lncRNA from 1 species